rnacentral:rRNA from 1 species
GACGAACGCUGGCGGCGUGCCUAAUACGUGCAAGUCGAGCGCAGGAAAUCGACGGAACCCUUCGGGGGGAAGUCGAUGGAAUGAGCGGCGGACGGGUGAGUAACACGUAAAGAGCCUGCCCUCAAGUCUGGGAUAACCACGAGAAAUCGGGGCUAAUACCGGAUGGGUCAUCGGACCGCAUGGUCCGAGGAUGAAAGGCGCUUCGGCGUCGCCUGGGGAUGGCUUUGCGGUGCGUUAGCUAGUUGGUGGGGUAAUGGCCCACCAAGGCGACGAUGCAUAGCCGACCUGAGAGGGUGAUCGGCCACACUGGGACUGAGACACGGCCCAGACUCCUACGGGAGGCAGCAGUAGGGAAUCUUCCACAAUGGACGAAAGUCUGAUGGAGCAACGCCGCGUGAACGAUGAAGGCCUUCGGGUCGUAAAGUUCUGUUGUAAGGGAAGAACAAGUGCCGCAGGCAAUGGCGGCACCUUGACGGUACCUUGCGAGAAAGCCACGGCUAACUACGUGCCAGCAGCCGCCGCCG